rnacentral:rRNA from 1 species
AGUGGCGAACGGGUGAGUAACACGUGACCAACCUGCCUCUUACAUUGGGACAACCAAAAGAAAUUCUGGCUAAUACCAAAUACUCCGCACAUAUCACAUGAUGUAUGCGGGAAAGCUUUUGCGGUAAGAGAUGGGGUCGCGGCCCAUUAGGUAGACGGCGGGGUAGAAGCCCACCGUGCCGAUGAUGGGUAGCCGGGUUGAGAGACCGACCGGCCACAUUGGGACUGAGAUACGGCCCAGACUCCUACGGGAGGCAGCAGGU